CAGGCCGCAGACGCACUGUGGGUGGAGGGGCUCGCCCGUCCCACACCGCAGCACGGCCUCCCUGCCCUUCACAUUCUGAUCUCAUCCUCUACCCUCAGGCCCGGACAGUGCCUGCUGUGUGGCACCCCCCGUGCCCCCCCAGCGGCCAGGCUGUCCUCUCAGCACCCAGGGAGUUUCCAGACCGGUUGCCCCAUCUGGCCCCUGGGCCACUUCCCCUCCCCCCACUCCUUCUCAGACCUCCUGGGGGGCGGGGGGAGGGGCUCUGGGUCCUCACACCCUGUUCACGCAUCUGCCUCCUGCCCAAGAGAGGGUGCCUCCGCAGAGCUAGCCAAAGGCUCAUGGCUGAGGAUGGGGAGGCCAGGGGCCCGGAAAGGCCUUGGAGCCGACUCAGGGCAGCCUCUGGCCCUUCCCAGGGGCACUUGGGGCCAGGGUCUGGGGCUGAGCCCGGCUCCUCCUGGGCAGGGACAGUAACAGCCACCCGGUGGGACUCCGAGAUGGCCUCACCCCCCUGGUGGCAGCCUGGGCUGGCCAGGUGGCCUUCCUCCCACACAGAGUCCAGCCCUGACCUCCAGGCUGCAUCACAUCCCAGUCUGCCGACACGGCAGAAACUCGUAGCAAACCACGGCUGUGGGCACCGUCAUUCUCAGGACCAGUCCUCAAGGCCGCCACUGGGCUCUGGCACAGGCUACGUCCUCUUCCAAGAUGUCCCUUCUCCUUGCGCAUUCGAGCUGGUGCUCCCCGGGCACCCCUUCCUGAGGCCCCACCUGCCCUAGUGCCCCCACCCCACCCAGGCCAAAGACAGGUCCAGUCCUGCCAGUGCUGGCUUCUACCCCUCCAGCCACAGGCACCAGGGCACAGGUGGUGGCGGGCUGAGCCAGAGGGUAAAUGCCAACGGAGCCACACCGGGGCCUUCCGGAAAGAACGCAGUCAGCAUGAAGUCUGCAGACACAGCCGAGACUGGCCCCUCCGAGCCCCACAGCAACGACUCCCCGGCCUUUGUCGGGGUGACUCUAACUGGUGAACACGCUGUACACGCUGGGGCACGUCUGACGGGGGCAGUGAGCCCGGUGGGGCCGCGGUAGUCGGAGCCCAUGUGGAGGAGCUGCCGUCAACAGGGCCUGAUGGGGCCCGGAGUCCGGAGCAGCUCCCAGAAGGGAGCACGUCUUUCCUGAGCUGGCCGGGCCAGGCCGGGGAGCAAACACACACGUUCUCCGUCCAUCCCAGGCUGCCUGACGCCCACCCGCCUUCCUCCUUCCGAGCACAUUGAAAGGCACGCUGCCCAAAAGUCACAGCAUGUCGUGCUCAAGCACCCCCCCCCGCCCCCCACCGCAGGGUGGCCGUGUGGCGUUCCAACCGCUCACACGACCCUGCUCCCGAAGCCGUGCUCCCCGCCAUCGAGUGGCCUGCUCCUCCUGUCUGGCGAGUGGUGGACCGGAGCCGGGCAGGCGGCACUGAAGUCUCGGCACGGGGCACGGGCCGCGGCACAGCCUACGUCCUGUCCGACGAAAGCAGCCAGGACUCGUGUGCCCGGGACAGCCGGUGCCUCACGGGGACCGUCGCCUUGACCUGACACCGUGAGCCGAAGAUGCCCCUUCUGGUGGCCGCUCGCGAGCCGACAACUCCAGCACGUGGCUCGCCCGGUAGGCUGCAGGUGACAGAAUCUCUCAGAGAAGGCAGUUCGGGCAGAAAAGGAGGUUGGCAGCUCCCGUGCAUGAGACGCCAGGCAAGUGAGCCUUCAGGACCGGCUCGAUCCAGUCCACCGGAGAGGGCCACGCUGUUUCCUCCCGCUCUGGCGGCUAUCAUUUCUGCCGUUUGGCUGCCUUCUCAGGCUCUGUGAGGCACGGGUGAUGGCCCUCGGUGCACCUCGUCAUGACGGGAAGAAAGGAACCUACUUGCCUCGACCACAAAUUCUAGAAACAGUCACACUGACUGCCACUGGGACCCCUGCUGUUCGGGGCUGAAUUGUGUCUCCAAGAAAGAUGUGGAAAUCCUAA